ACUCCUACGGGAGGCAGCAGUGGGGAAUAUUGCACAAUGGGCGCAAGCCUGAUGCAGCCAUGCCGCGUGUAUGAAGAAGGCCUUCGGGUUGUAAAGUACUUUCAGCGGGGAGGAAGGCGAUAAGGUUAAUAACCUUGUUGAUUGACGUUACCCGCAGAAGAAGCACCGGCUAACUCCGUGCCAGCAGCCGCGGUAAUACGGAGGGUGCAAGCGUUAAUCGGAAUUACUGGGCGUAAAGCGCACGCAGGCGGUCUGUCAAGUCGGAUGUGAAAUCCCCGGGCUCAACCUGGGAACUGCAUUCGAAACUGGCAGGCUAGAGUCUUGUAGAGGGGGGUAGAAUUCCAGGUGUAGCGGUGAAAUGCGUAGAGAUCUGGAGGAAUACCGGUGGCGAAGGCGGCCCCCUGGACAAAGACUGACGCUCAGGUGCGAAAGCGUGGGGAGCAAACAGGAUUAGAAACCCCUGUAGUCCCAUG
rnacentral:rRNA from 1 species